rnacentral:tRNA from 1 species
GCGGGUGUAGCUCAACGGUAGAGCUCCAGCCUUCCAAGCUGGUGACGCGGGUUCGACUCCCGUCACCCGCU